GAUUUCGUGUAAUUCUUUUCGCAGAUCUUCCAAACAAAAAAAAAAAAAAAAAAAAAAAAUUUUA
rnacentral:ribozyme from 1 species